rnacentral:lncRNA from 1 species
UACCGGCUGCCUUGACCUGAUUUGUUUUUGUUCUGUUUUUAUGAACCAUUGUUAUGUGUUUAAAUGGUGUUCCUUUUCGUUUUGUCAACCUUCUUUUCCUGAUCUAAGAAUGGAGGAGGCUCAUCUCAGGAAUGUGCAUUUAUGAACAAAAGCAGUUUGUGUGAACCAGCACAGAUCGUGAAAAUGGGUGUCUCUGAUAAAGCAGCUAUUGUUCUUCAAAUCCUCAAUGAAACAGCUAAGCUUUUUGAAAGGAAGGACGUCCCCUUCUCCAGUGUGAGAGGCGUUCUGGAGUAUAUCUAUUAUGUACACGAUCAGCUAAAACCUUGUCUGCAAUCCAAAACCAGUCUUCCUCUGAUGGACAGCCCGAUAGAAGAUUGUUUCAAAAAGCUGCAGCUAUUUUUGAACGAUGGGAGCAGUCACUGCACUUGGCAAGUGGCUCGCGAAGAUAUCAUGGUGGUUUUCCAACAACUUGAACUUGACAUUUCUGCUUCACGGCAUCGACAGCGUAGAACUGAGGUGAAGAAUCUUCUGCUUCCAUGAGUCGGCCGAUGCUGCCCCACAGCCUUGUAGCAUUGAAUAUACC